rnacentral:sRNA from 1 species
AUGCUCCUAUGUUGUGUUAAGUGUUGGCAGAUAUCUGGACCCCGCCCUAGCGGUCUAGAACUUGAACCCCGGACCUCCCCCUCCCCAUAGAUGUCCGGGGUUUUUUUUGCCUGUAG